rnacentral:lncRNA from 1 species
CUCAAAACAAUUUUGAGAAAUUUGCAUGGCUUGUUAUUAAUCGCAUUAUAUGUAAUAAUUAACGAUUCCUCCUUUUAGAUACACCAUCUUGCUGCAGUGUAUAUGAAGGAGUCCACUGCAAGAGAAUCUCAUUCUCUCUUAGAUAAUCUAAAUUUCAUCUUUAAGAUACUCUCACUUGAUCGAAUCUUAAUGUGUGAGUAUCUUUACCUAUUUGUUU